rnacentral:lncRNA from 1 species
ACUGCAAGAACGUAAGGCUGCAGGGAAUACAUUUUUAAAGCGUCGGUGGGGAACUUUCUGGGACGCUCAACCCCCUGAAUGCCUGGACCCCCUCAGUAAGAGUCCCAUCAAUAGAGGCAGUCCAACAGCAAUCUCUCUGAGGCAGCCUGAGUUAGGUCACACUUCUGGUCUGUCCUGCUGUUGCAUCUGCUCAGAACUGUUAGUGAAGGUGUAAACUCCUCCCCUGACAGAACAAGAUAAUACCCAGUUUCCUUUAAGGCCAUCAGUCUACCCAAAUAAUCUCCGAUGAAUUCCCUUUUCUGCUGAUAGAGUGUGUACCAUGCCCAAAGUGGUAAAAACCUUCCAUCCCCAGACCCCCUCCAAGGAUGGGAAAGGUGAGCCUGAUCCUGGAAGAGUAUCUUACCUUCCCCUUCUGGGGAUGACUCCCCUUGGUGACUCCCCUUCCCACACACGCUAUACCCAGUAGCUCAGUCCUAGGCACACAGAAGCUUCAUACCACUGGCGAGCAACUGUUAUUGGCUGUAAGGCAGCAAUGUGCACUGGAUUUUUAUUCUGCUAUCCAGUUAUGCCCUCUCCAUACUCAUUGCCACAGAAUUGGGAGGACCCUGUGGCUACCUUUUGUCCACAAUAGAGAGUAGAGUAGGAGAGUGGCAUCCCGAUGAGCAGGCAGUUUCUCUCUGCCUGUCAGGAAUGCCUUGCCUGAUGUGUGUUUCUGCCUAUAUUGCUCCUAGUCCCAAGUUUCUACUACUCUGUGAGAAGAAAAAUAGAUGCUCACAGACAGACCAACAUGAUUCCUCCCCCGCUUCCUGGAACCCCUGACACCCUCCCAGAUAUGUCUUGAUCUCCUCUUUAUCAGAUGUAGAUUCUCUUCAUUGGUGAGUCUUUCAUCAAACAUCCAUUUUGCCCAUAAGGAAGAGUGUGUACAUGUAAAAAAUAAGAUUGAACGUUCUCUUUUGGCAAAAGAGAGAGAUCUUAUCUGUCUUCCCUUUUCCUAGGACUUUUCCUUGAGAAAAACCUAUAUUUAUUAAUCCUUCCUCUUCACUUUGAUAUGUAGAUAAAUCUUUUGUUUUUGCAGACAGGGUCUCACUUUCUCACCCAGGCUAGAGUGCAGUGGGCAUGAUCAGGGCAGCCUUACUGGAGCCUCAACCUCCCAAGCUCAAGCAAUCCUCUCACCUCAGCCCCCAAGGAGCUGGGACUACAGGUGCAGGCCCCCACACCCCACUAACUUUUUUAUACUUUUUUCGUCUGGAACUCCUGCAAGCAGCCCUCCCACCUCAGCCUCCCAAAGUGCUGGUAAGACAGCCAGGUGGGAAGGAUUCCUUGGCAGAAUCUCCUUUUGACCUGAGCACUGGGAGGAAUGCACCCUGUGGUGGAGCCUUGGGAAAUUUGCGCCAUUUGCAGUGGGGAGGAGCCUGGCCCCUCCUUUUCCUAGGUGGAACCUGGGAUUCAGUCUACCAGGCAGGAAGCACUCUGGCUUUGGGGAGAGUCUCUGUUUCCCUUUUUUUCUUUUUGCCCAAUAAAUUCCAUUCUCACCCUUCAAGGCAUCUGUGAGCCUAAUAUUUCAUGGCCAUGUGACCAGGACCCAGCUCUUAGCUGAACUAAGGAGAAAGUCGUACAACAGCUUUGGCACCCAAUGUGGGGCUUGAGAAGCGGUUGAGUGACACGGGGACUCAAAACUUUUCACUGUCAUUUCUAAGCCUUUUCAUGCGUGGACUUCUGAGGGUAGGGAAACCAUGCCCCCACUCCCAUCGCUCCCUGGGGUCAGGGGCCUUUCCAUGGCCUUUGCCUUCGUUUUUUGGGAAGGAUAGGCAAGUCGCAGCUCCUCAUUCCCUCUCCCCUCCCAGCUGGGGCUGGGGAAUGCCACAUGUCCACAGCAUCUUCCCCUUCCCUGGCCAAGGCUCAACUCCAUCUGAUAAGCUUCUCUCCCUGGUAGAGGAACCAUUUGCCUAAGAAUAAAAGGUUUAUUCCCCCAGGCAUCCUUUUUUCUUCACCCCAUCAACAGUUAACUUUUAAACCAGAUGUUUUUUUUCUUUUUCACUAGGCUAGGAAUGAUAAGGAUCC